AUGGUUCAAACGGUACAUGACAAAGAAAGAAGAAAAUGGUUAGAAAACAAUUCAUAUUUGAACAUAAACAUGAAAUUAUCAAAGAGUAUUUUCACAGUUUCAGCAUUAGGGUUUUGUUCAAGGAUCAGAAAAAGGGUUAUUUCUCAAUCAUGUUCAAGCAACAUCAAAAGCCUCAUAUUUGUUUUGUUCAUAAUAACAAAUAUUCAAAUUCAAACAAUAAUCAUGGGCCCAAUUAUCCUACUGAAAAUCAAAAACAAACACACAAAAAGGGAGGUUCAUUUGGUUCACAGUAA